rnacentral:rRNA from 1 species
GAUGAACGCUGUCUACAGGCUUAACACAUGCAAGUCGAGGGGAAACGCCGGGGAAGCUUGCUUCCCCGGGCGUCGACCGGCGCACGGGUGAGUAACGCGUAUCCAACCUGCCUCUGACUGAGGGAUAACCCGUCGAAAGUCGGCCUAAUACCUCAUGGCAUCGUCUGCGGGCAUCCAACGACGAUUAAAGAUUUCAUCGGUCAGGGAUGGGGAUGCGUCUGAUUAGCUUGUUGGCGGGGUAACGGCCCACCAAGGCUACGAUCAGUAGGGGUUCUGAGAGGAAGGUCCCCCACAGUGGAACUGAGACACGGUCCAAACUCCUACGGGAGGCAGCAGUGAGGAAUAUUGGUCAAGGGGCGGGAGCCUGAACCAGCCGAGUAGCGUGCAGGAUGACGGCCCUAUGGGUUGUAAACUGCUUUUAUGCGGGGAUAAAGUGAGGGACGUGUCCUUCAUUGCAGGUACCGCAUGAAGAAGGACCGGCUAAUUCCGUG